AGUCGAAUUGUAAUCAAGACCCAACGUUUCAACACUCCAAUCUAGUGUCUUGUAAUUUUAGAUCACACUAGACUGGAGUGUCGAAACGUUGGGUCUUGAUUACAAUUC